rnacentral:rRNA from 1 species
GAUCUAGCUUGCUAGAUGCUGACGAGCGGCGGACGGGUGAGUAAUGCAUAGGAAUCUGCCCGGUAGUGGGGGAUAACCUGGGGAAACCCAGGCUAAUACCGCAUACGUCCUACGGGAGAAAGGGGGCUUCGGCUCCCGCUAUUGGAUGAGCCUAUGUCGGAUUAGCUAGUUGGUGAGGUAAAGGCUCACCAAGGCAACGAUCCGUAGCUGGUCUGAGAGGAUGAUCAGCCACAUCGGGACUGAGACACGGCCCGAACUCCUACGGGAGGCAGCAGUGGGGAAUAUUGGACAAUGGGGGCAACCCUGAUCCAGCCCAUGCCGCGUGUGUGAAGAAGGCCCUCGGGUUGUAAAGCACUUUCAGCGAGGAAGAACGCCUAGUGGUUAAUACCCAUUAGGAAAGACAUCACUCGCAGAAGAAGCACCGGCUAACUCCGUGCCAGCAGCCGCGGUAAUACGGAGGGUGCAAGCGUUAAUCGGAAUUACUGGGCGUAAAGCGCGCGUAGGUGGCUUGAUAAGCCGGUUGUGAAAGCCCCGGGCUCAACCUGGGAACGGCAUCCGGAACUGUCAUGCUAGAGUGCAGGAGAGGAAGGUAGAAUUCCCGGUGUAGCGGUGAAAUGCGUAGAGAUCGGGAGGAAUACCAGUGGCGAAUGCGGCCUUCUGGACUGACACUGACACUGAGGUGCGAAAGCGUGGGUAGCAAACAGGAUUAGAUACCCUGGUAGUCCACGCCGUAAACGAUGUCGACCAGCCGUUGGGUGCCUAGCGCACUUUGUGGCGAAGUUAACGCGAUUAGUCCACCGCCUGGGGAGUACGGCCGCAAGGUUAAAACUCAAAUGAUUUGACGGGGGCCCGCUACAAGCGGUGGAGCAUGUGGUUUAAUUCGAUGCACCGCGAAGAACCUUACCUACCCUUGACAUCUACUUGAAGCCGGAAGAGAUUCUGGUGUGCCUUCGGGAACUGUAAGACAGGUGCUGCAUGGCUGUCGUCAGCUCGUGUUGUGAAAUGUUGGGUUAAGUCCCGUAACGAGCGCAACCCUUGUCCUUAUUUGCCAGCGAGUAAUGUCGGGAACUCUAAGGAGAUCUGCCGGUGACAAACUGGAGGAAGGUGGGGACGACGUCAAGUCAUCAUGGCCCUUACGGGUAGGGCUACACACGUGCUACAAUGCCCGGUACAAAGGGCUGUGAGCUCGCGAGAGUCAGCGAAUCCUUUAAAGCCGGUCUCAGUCCGGAUCGGAGUCUGCAACUCGACUCCGUGAAGUCGGAAU